rnacentral:rRNA from 1 species
AUUGAACGCUGGCGGCAGGCCUAACACAUGCAAGUCGAACGAGUGGCGGACGGGUGAGUUAUGUCUGGGAAUCUGCCUGAUGGAGGGGGAUAACUACUGGAAAUGGUAGCUAAUACCGCAUACCAUCAGAUGUGCCCAGCUGGGAUUAGCUUGUUGGUGGGUUAACUGCGCACCAAGGCGCCGAUCCCUAGCUGGUCUGAGAGGAUGACCAGACACACUGGAACAGAGACACGGUCCAGACUCCUACGUGAGGCAGCAGUGGGGAAUAUUGGACAAUGGGCGCAAGCCUGAUGCAGCCAUGCCGCGUAUAUGAAGAAGGCCUUGGGGUGGUAAAGUACUUUCAGCGGGGAGGCGUUACCCGCAGAAGAAGCACCGGCUAACUCCGUGCCAGCAGCCGCGGUAAUUC